CAUGUUGAAACACCGUUUCCAAUACGAUCACCGAAGUUAAGCAACGUCGAGCCUGGUCAGUACCUAGAUAAGCGACCACUUGGGAAUACAGGGCGCUGCAAG